GCCGCCGCCUCCCGGCCGCCCUCCGCCCCGCGCGCUCGUUGAGGCCGGUGCUCCAGAGUGAAGAGCGUGGCGGUGCGGCGGUAGCGCAGGGCCCUCCUGCGGGGCCAGGCAGGGGCGGGUGGGCGCUCCUUGCCACCUUUCUGCUCUCCCUGCUGUCCGAGAAGUUCGUGCGGUGCCAGCCCAGCUCCCAGCUGGGGACAGAACAGGAAACGUCCCCGGCGAGCCUGGCGGGGGUGGCGGCAGGGGUGUCUGUCGCCUGCGCUGGGCAGGACGCGCGUCCUACCGGCCUCCCACUCCGCGGGCCUCACCAGCCACCUCAUUCCCGGAGCCCGGGCCGCCGAGAGCGCCGCGGAUGGACCUCAGGGAAGGCCUGGCGCGCCGCCUCCGGGAAGCCUUCCGGCCUUCUCCCUCCACCGAGUACUGGGGAGUCUCAGGCCACGGUGAAUGAAGAGCAACGGGCCGGAGAGACCUCGGCCUCUGCCCAGGAGCAGCGCCCAGCAACCCCGCCCACAGGGGACCCGGUGGACGCCCUGGUGGCCACUUUGCCAGGCUCCCCAUCUCCCAGCGAACCAGAGAGGAUUUCCGUUCCCCUCCUGCUUGGUGCCUAGCGCCAGGGCGGGGCGUGGGCUGAGCAGCCCCUCCCAUGGAGGGAGCGGCCAGUCUACAUAUUGGAGGUGGGGCUCUGGGGAAAGGGUGUUGUUAGGAAGGCGGUUUGAGGCAGCGGGAGGUGGGGAUGCGCCCGGCGGGGAGGGGCAGGUGUGUGGGGAGGGCCUGGGGAGCGCCUCCCCAGCCGGGCAGCGCUUCCCCAGCCAGGCCCCGCAGCUGGACCCCGGCUCCGUCCAGCCUGGGAAAGGACUCCACGGUUUAUGCUGAAGUGGUGGUGGGGUGGGUGAACGCUGCGCAAUGGAAGGGCAUGGCCCUGUGCUAAUUGCCCCGGGGUGUGGGGCUGUGGAGGCACUGCGGGGGGGAUGUGCUGUGUCAGUUGGGCAAUGGCGGCCAACUGUGGCGUGCAGGCCUUGGAGCUGCCCCUCCAUGGAGCUUUAAUAAAGGCACUAGCCCUGCAAUUUCUGCCUGAGUUUCUGGCCCACAGCUUGGCCGACUGCAGCCCCUGAG
rnacentral:lncRNA from 1 species